AUUGAACGCUGGCGGCAGGCCUAACACAUGCAAGUCGAGCGGAUGAAGGGAGCUUGCUCCUGGAUUCAGCGGCGGACGGGUGAGUAAUGCCUAGGAAUCUGCCUGGUAGUGGGGGAUAACGUCCGGAAACGGGCGCUAAUACCGCAUACGUCCUGAGGGAGAAAGUGGGGGAUCUUCGGACCUCACGCUAUCAGAUGAGCCUAGGUCGGAUUAGCUAGUUGGUGGGGUAAAGGCCUACCAAGGCGACGAUCCGUAACUGGUCUGAGAGGAUGAUCAGUCACACUGGAACUGAGACACGGUCCAGACUCCUACGGGAGGCAGCAGUGGGGAAUAUUGGACAAUGGGCGAGAGCCUGAUACAGCCAUGCCGCGUGUGUGAAGAAGGUCUUCGGAUUGUAAAGCACUUUAAGUUGGGAGGAAGGGCAGUAAGUUAAUACCUUGCUGUUUUGACGUUACCAACAGAAUAAGCACCGGCUAACUACGUG
rnacentral:rRNA from 1 species